rnacentral:lncRNA from 13 species
UAUAGAUAGAAGGAGUAUACUCUAAAAUAUCGAUCAAAAGUAUAGUGUGAAUACACGAACCAGUAACAUAUUUAUUAUCAAGUAUUACAUACUGUACACAAUCGUGUGCGCUGCGGUUUUAUACACCAGGCUUAUUUGGUAUUUUUAGUAGAGACCGGGUUUCACCAUGUUGGUCAGGCUGGUCUUGAACUCCUGACCUCAUGUGAUCCACCUGCCCUGGCCUCCCAAAGUGCUGGGAUUACAGGCAUGAGUCACAGUGCUCAGCCAUAGUUUGGUGAUUCUAACGUGUAGUGAUACCUUAUGGUUUAAAUGGGCAUUUCCCUCAUGAUAUCAAACAUUUUUUCAUGUGUUUAUUUGCCAUCUAUAUAGCUUUUUCCGUGAAAUGUUGCUUUGUAUCUUUUGCUCAUGUUCUAAUUGGAUUGUUUUGUUUUGUUACUGUUUAAUUUUUAGACUUUAAAAAAAUGUUUUCUAGAUACUAGUCCUUCCUUGGGCUGUAAUCCCAGCUACUGGGGAGGCUGAGGCAGGACAAUCCCUUGAACCCAGAAGGCAGAGGUUGCAGUGAGCUGAGAUCAUACCACUGCAUUCCAGCCUGGGUGACAGAGCAAGACUCUGUCUCAAAAAAAAAAAAAAGAUAAUCUCCAAAGUUCCUUGAGCUACGUGGCUCUGUCACUCUGAUUUUUCAGAUUCUUCCCCAGGAGACUGGAGUUUCCAGGACGUGAAAAUUAUCCCUGCUUAAGUGAGCUAUUCCAAGCAGCUGGGAUACCUGCGUCACUCCUGCUGUCAGCGACUGCCCAGGUGUUAGCUGGUUCCUCCCAGCUGGGGAGGAACCAGAUGGGUUGGCUGGGAUGGGCAGAUAUUUAAAGACUGGGCCUUGGACCCAAAACACUGCUCUCUCCGCUCGUGCCUGCUGCCAUGUGGCUGCUGCUUCUCCUCCUGCUGUGGCUGAGCCCUGGGGUGAAGACAGGCAGCUGCUCCCAACCCCAGCGCCUUUGCUGUCUUGGAACAGAUCACCACUGCAAGAGGGGAGGUUGCUACUGUGAUGAAUUCUGCCAUGUGGUACCAGACUGCUGCCCAGACUACAGUCUCCUCUGCAACCCUGGUAACUCACAUGUAGGCUUGUUUCCACCUACAGCAAAGCUGCAUGCUGUGGUUGGCAGAGGCGAGCCCUUUGCCUGCAUGUCAGGCCAAAGCUGGGACGUGCCCUGGAUGGUUCCGAAGGCCCCUGACAAUCCUGAGAUCAGGUCAAAGGUGCCUACGCGUUCCUUCUAGCUUUGUUUCCUGAUGUUCCUUGCCACCUGCUACUCCUCUCUGAGCUACUUUUCCAGGUUCCACAGAGAGAGGUUAAGCUGUCUGUGGUAGAGAAGAGGAGAAAGAGGUGGCUGGGGUCCACUUAACGUUCUCUCUUCUUGCAGUAUGGAUGCCUCUUGACUGGCAGCAGGUAGACUUUUGAGGGGAGACAGGAGUCUGCAGAGAGAUGCCGGGGAUGCUGGGCAGCAGCAGUGGGUGUGGGAGGCAGAAAUGAUGACAGGAGCCUUCACCUUGUGUUUCUUUCAGCUUCUCAGAUGACCAAGAUGGGGCUGCAGAUGGUGCUGAGGAUGGAGAACCCACCCAGCCCUGCUAGGAGCCGUCUAGACUGGGUGCAGAGCAUGGUAAGCUCCCUGGAAGCUCUCCAAGAAGGGGUGGAUGGCAGCCUACUCCUUGCCUUUGUGGCCUCCAGACCCCAAAGUCAGGGAACCAGAGGGAGAAAGGGGCCUUCGCUAUGGCAGAGCUCCACUGCAAUGAUGGUUUUAGGGAUAGGAGC